UUGCUCACCACUCCCCACUGACUUAAGCAUCGGAGGGUCCCCAUCGGACAUAAUUUCGAUCAGUGCAGACUUCUUUUGCAGGUUCUCUUCUCCGGUGACGGACGUAACAAGAGAUUGGCCGCAAUAGAUUGGCGCGCCAGGUAGGGGCAGAAAAUUCAAUCAUCAUGGUAAAAAUCUAGUUAUCAUAGUGAAAAUGAGAGCCCAGAAUAUUUUCAUCGGCUCCAUUCGACAAUCUUUCCAUCAGGAAGAUCCCACACCUCCAUCGGUAGAGCCCAAUUCUUCGCUUCCGAUCAUCACCGCAGACAUUUAGCAAUUCGUUGCCUUCGUACAGCAAGUAAAGAUGCUGACAAAGACAGUCCAUAUCUUCUAGCAAUAGUAAAUACAAUCAAUAAUCGAUGGUGGUGCAAUCUCGACGGCAGUCUUAUCAGUGGGAUGGGCCACACCACUCAGCCCAUCACUCUCAAUGCACC
rnacentral:lncRNA from 1 species